CACGUGCAAUUGCCCGGCGCCAUCUUUGAAGUUCGUCUACGUUUUAUUUGUGUUUACGCGUGCUUUAGAUGGUGUUAUUUUGUGUUGUUUAUUCGUCGCGAAUAUCACUAUGGCGAAUUUUUGUGUAAUUGGUUGUAAUGGUAGUUCACUGGAGAACAAAGGAACAUGAUUUUUUAAAAUUACCGACAUUAUUUGUCAUCGAGGACACCAAAAUGAGGAAUGUAGUUAGUGAAUAUCAAUACAAGAGUUUGUCAGAAACAUUUCAUUUCAGCUGUGUCAAUAUGCGAAUGACUUCAGUGCGUAAUAGACGUGUUGAACAUUGGUGAUCGUCAGGAGAUAAGUUUCAGUUUCAUUGAUUACUGGGAUGAUGAAUUGAGUUUACAAGUUUGCUUUCCUGUGGUUAAUAAGGACAAUAGGAUAUCUACAGUGAAAAGAUAAGUAUUUGUACAUAAAGUUUAUUACAAGACAAUAUAGUAGUAUUAAGCUGUAACAAACAGAAGGCUUUCUUGCCAGUAAUUAAGACAAGACCAAAAUUAUAUAUUAAGUUACUUAUAUUGACAAUUCACAUUCAGCAGUAAUGGCCUUUGUAUAUGAGUUAAGGAAAAAUUAUCAAUGUUUUUGCAUUGUGCAAAGCAGGGCUGUG